ACAUCUGGCGCUCUGGAGGCUUUUCUGCCCCCGAAGGGCUGUGGUUCAAACCGACUUAACCAUUUCCACAGAGAUGCUCUACAAUCACUUACAACAUCCGGAAGGAUAUAUAAGAAAGGAUGACUGUCUCUGCAGAGGGAAACACAGAAACUGGGGAACUGUGGCCUCUGGAAAGAGACACAAGACACUGGCAAGACUAUUGCUUACAAAGAGCAGAAGUGAGUGGCUGGAGCAAAAAUGAGUGACCAGGGAA